AGUGACGAGGCAUGCAACCAUGGCGUUGCAAAUCGUUCCUUCUUUUUCUGCGUAAUAUCACGUUAGCUGAUUCAAGUAAUUAGAACGAAGGGUCUCUCGGAGCGUCAAUCGUAGGAUCACAAAUUCGCAAAUGGCUUCUUGAUCACAGCUGCUUCCGUUUGGCCGUCGCUGUUAAGGGUCGGGACAUGUGUUCGGUGUUCCUCCCGGGCGUCCACAAACUUACAAAAGCCUGAUGAAAUUGGCCCCCAGUAGAUGGAGGCAGCACGAUGCCAUUUCGUUUUCUUUGUUGGCUUCUUCCGUGUACAAGGAAUUCCGUUUCAGACCAACCGGGUUGGUCCAGGGGAGGAAAAGUAUCUGACUACUCGCUGACAUGGACAUCGAUAGCACUACCAUGAAAAACGACGGCCCAAAAGGACAACCUGAGAAGUUUUCUCCGCCAGGAGGCAAGCAAUCUCCUUACAAGCGCCAGGGAUAGCCGCUUCCAAACCAGCAACUAAGUCACGAAGUCUCUAGAGAUGGCCUCAUAAUUCAGGGCCAAUGCACUUGUCUCGUCGACCUUGUCGCCAAGGAGGGUGUUGUGAUCGAUGGGUUGGGAGUUUGCGUUUGUAAGAGUUGCAUGUUUUGGCGUGGCGUUAGAGUGUCGUGUUCAAGUGUUAGCUAAUGUCGCUUUGUGGUCUACGUGGGUGUGUUGCUUGUGUGGGUUCGGUUCGGUUAUUGUAGGUUUUCGCUCGGUUUUCUCUUAAAAACCGGAUAACCUUUUCUUAAUUAAUGGAUGAGGCAAAGCUUUUA